rnacentral:rRNA from 1 species
GACGAACGCUGGCGGCGUGCUUAACACAUGCAAGUCGAACGGAAAGGCCCUGCUUUUGUGGGGUGCUCGAGUGGCGAACGGGUGAGUAACACGUGAGUAACCUGCCCUUGACUUUGGGAUAACUUCAGGAAACUGGGGCUAAUACCGGAUAGGAGCUCCUGCUGCAUGGUGGGGGUUGGAAAGUUUCGGCGGUUGGGGAUGGACUCGCGGCUUAUCAGCUUGUUGGUGGGGUAGUGGCUUACCAAGGCUUUGACGGGUAGCCGGCCUGAGAGGGUGACCGGCCACCUUGGGACUGGGGUACGGCCCAGACUCCUACGGGGGGCAACAGUGGGGAAUAUUGCACAAUGGGCGGGAGCCUGAUGCAGCAACGCCGCGUGCGGGAUGACGGCCUUCGGGUUGUAAACCGCUUUCGCCUGUGACGAAGCGUUAGUGACGGUAAUGGGUAAAGAAGCACCGGCUAACUACGUG